AGUGAACGCUGGCGGUAGGCCUAACACAUGCAAGUCGAACGGCAGCACAGUAAGAGCUUGCUCUUACGGGUGGCGAGUGGCGGACGGGUGAGGAAUACAUCGGAAUCUACUUUUUCGUGGGGGAUAACGUAGGGAAACUUACGCUAAUACCGCAUACGACCUACGGGUGAAAGCAGGGGAUCUUCGUACCUUGCGCGAUUGAAUGAGCCGAUGUCGGAUUAGCUAGUUGGCGGGGUAAAGGCCCACCAAGGCGACGAUCCGUAGCUGGUCUGAGAGGAUGAUCAGCCAAACUGGAACUGAGACACGGUCAAGAAUCCUAAGGGAGGCAGCAGUGGGGAAUAUUGGACAAUGGGCGGAAGCAUGAUACAGCCAUACCGCGUGGGUGAAGAAGGCCUUCGGGUUGUAAAGCCCUUUUGUUGGGAAAGAAAAGCAGCAGGUUAAUACCCCGCUGUUCUGACGGUACCCAAAGAAUAAGCACCGGCUAACUUCGUG
rnacentral:rRNA from 1 species